GGCAGCAAGCCUGAACCAGGCCGGGUCGUGAUGGAGGACUGGACCUUGACUGGGGAGAUUGCUUCUUGGUAAGAGGAACCAUGGACCGUCCACUGCCAGGUGGAUCUGGCUGCGGAGAUUGAAGGAGUUUGUCCGUCCAGAGAAGUGAUGACCUGGAAAGGAUAGAAACUGCUAUGGAGGCCUGUAUUGACAAUGAAAUGCAUUCAUCGUUCUUCUUGAGUUGGAAUUCAAGUUUCAAAUUCCGUGGGGUCCUGAGCACAGAUUCUCCAUCUCAGGGCAGUGUGGCACCAGAUGUGAGGGUGGCCACAUGAGCAUCGACAGGAGGUGUCUGAAAUAAAGCUGUUGCUGUUGGGACAAAACCAUAGUGUUUGUUA